UCUUAGAAGGAUACUUAGAGGUCAAGCCUCUCUGUUUGACUGGUCGAAAUCGACUUCUUUAGCAAGGACGUUAUCCCCCAGAGUCUUGGAGAGUCAAAUUGAUGCUAAGAAGGAUCUGGAGAAAAACUUGAAAGCGACUUGUGAGGAGUUUAUUAUGUCUGUCACUAAGCUAGUGGUAGAUCCUAUGCUCUCAUUCGUGACCAAGGUAACUGCUGUCAAAGUGGCAUUAUCUUCCAGCAAUCAGAACCGGGUUUUGGAGAAACCACUAAGGAAUCAAGCUUUUGCAACUCAAGAUAAGGUUGCCGAAUUAGUUCA